UUGGCGGACGGGUGAGUAACGCGUGGGUAACCUGCCUCACACUGGGGGAUAACAGUUAGAAAUAGCUGCUAAUACCGCAUAAGCGCACAGCUCCGCACGGAGCGGUGUGAAAAACUCCGGUGGUGUGAGAUGAACCCGCGUCUGAUUAGCCAGUUGGCGGGGUAACGGCCCACCAAAGCGACGAUCAGUAGCCGGCCUGAGAGGGUGAACGGCCACAUUGGGACUGAGACACGGCCCAAACUCCUACGGGAGGCAGCAUG
rnacentral:rRNA from 1 species